UAGGGAGACCUACCCGUUUCUACUUAAACGCUUACUUUCUACUAUUCAACCUUGGUUGAGUGAGGAAAAGAGUUAUCAGAGUAGAGAUUGGUCAUCCCAAGGUCGUUCGAGGAUUGAGUGUUGACUUCUAAACUAUGUAAGAUUGGUUCGGGUUAUGGGCUAUUAGCUCAGGUGGUUAGAGCGCACCCCUGAUAAGGGUGAGGUCCCUGGUUCGAGUCCAGGAUGGCCCACCUUUUGAAACAAGGGGGUUUAGCUCAGUUGGUAGAGCGCCUGCUUUGCAAGCAGGAUGUCAACGGUUCGAGUCCGUUAACCUCCACUGAAAGCUGAGAGCUUUCGUACCCGAAUCCAUUUCAAUUCCAGCAACUCAUCUAAUCUUUAGAGAGCCUACUGGACUUGUUCCAGACAGAACCAUGAAAACUGCAUAGAAACUUGUCAGGUAGAAAGUAGUAAAUCUUUCACUAGUUGCUCGACAAGGUAACGAGUGAGGGAUUUCCACAGAUAUCACAGACACCAAUGUUGAUUGAUGAAAGUG
rnacentral:tRNA from 1 species